ACUAAGCGUACACGGUGGAUGCCCUGGCAGUCAGAGGCGAUGAAGGACGUGCUAAUCUGCGAUAAGCGUCGGUGAGGUGAUAUGAACCGUUAUAACCGGCGAUUUCCGAAUGGGGAAACCCAGUGUGUUUCGUCACACUAUCAUUAACUGAAUCCAUAGGUUAAUGAGGCGAACCGGGGGAACUGAAACAUCUAAGUACCCCGAGGAAAAGAAAUCAACCGAGAUUCCCCCAGUAGCGGCGAGCGAACGGGGAGGAGCCCAGAGCCUGAAUCAGUGUGUGUGUUAGUGGAAGCGUCUGGAAAGGCGCGCGAUACAGGGUGACAGCCCCGUACACAAAAAUGCACAUACUGUGAGCUCGAUGAGUAGGGCGGGACACGUGGUAUCCUGUCUGAAUAUGGGGGGACCAUCCUCCAAGGCUAAAUACUCCUGACUGACCGAUAGUGAACCAGUACCGUGAGGGAAAGGCGAAAAGAACCCCGGCGAGGGGAGUGAAAAAGAACCUGAAACCGUGUACGUACAAGCAGUGGGAGCCUCUUAAUGGGGUGACUGCGUACCUUUUGUAUAAUGGGUCAGCGACUUAUAUUCUGUAGCAAGGUUAACCGAAUAGGGGAGCCGAAGGGAAACCGAGUCUUAACUGGGCGUUAAGUUGCAGGGUAUAGACCCGAAACCCGGUGAUCUAGCCAUGGGCAGGUUGAAGGUUGGGUAACACUAACUGGAGGACCGAACCGACUAAUGUUGAAAAAUUAGCGGAUGACUUGUGGCUGGGGGUGAAAGGCCAAUCAAACCGGGAGAUAGCUGGUUCUCCCCGAAAGCUAUUUAGGUAGCGCCUCGUGAAUUCAUCUCCGGGGGUAGAGCACUGUUUCGGCAAGGGGGUCAUCCCGACUUACCAACCCGAUGCAAACUGCGAAUACCGGAGAAUGUUAUCACGGGAGACACACGGCGGGUGCUAACGUCCGUCGUGAAGAGGGAAACAACCCAGACCGCCAGCUAAGGUCCCAAAGUCAUGGUUAAGUGGGAAACGAUGUGGGAAGGCCCAGACAGCCAGGAUGUUGGCUUAGAAGCAGCCAUCAUUUAAAGAAAGCGUAAUAGCUCACUGGUCGAGUCGGCCUGCGCGGAAGAUGUAACGGGGCUAAACCAUGCACCGAAGCUGCGGCAGCGACACUAUGUGUUGUUGGGUAGGGGAGCGUUCUGUAAGCCUGUGAAGGUGGCCUGUGAGGGUUGCUGGAGGUAUCAGAAGUGCGAAUGCUGACAUAAGUAACGAUAAAGCGGGUGAAAAGCCCGCUCGCCGGAAGACCAAGGGUUCCUGUCCAACGUUAAUCGGGGCAGGGUGAGUCGACCCCUAAGGCGAGGCCGAAAGGCGUAGUCGAUGGGAAACAGGUUAAUAUUCCUGUACUUGGUGUUACUGCGAAGGGGGGACGGAGAAGGCUAUGUUGGCCGGGCGACGGUUGUCCCGGUUUAAGCGUGUAGGCUGGUUUUCCAGGCAAAUCCGGAAAAUCAAGGCUGAGGCGUGAUGACGAGGCACUACGGUGCUGAAGCGACAAAUGCCCUGCUUCCAGGAAAAGCCUCUAAGCAUCAGGUAACAUUAAAUCGUACCCCAAACCGACACAGGUGGUCAGGUAGAGAAUACCAAGGCGCUUGAGAGAACUCGGGUGAAGGAACUAGGCAAAAUGGUGCCGUAACUUCGGGAGAAGGCACGCUGAUAUGUAGGUGAAGCGACUUGCUCGUGGAGCUGAAAUCAGUCGAAGAUACCAGCUGGCUGCAACUGUUUAUUAAAAACACAGCACUGUGCAAACACGAAAGUGGACGUAUACGGUGUGACGCCUGCCCGGUGCCGGAAGGUUAAUUGAUGGGGUUAGCGGCAACGCGAAGCUCUUGAUCGAAGCCCCGGUAAACGGCGGCCGUAACUAUAACGGUCCUAAGGUAGCGAAAUUCCUUGUCGGGUAAGUUCCGACCUGCACGAAUGGCGUAAUGAUGGCCAGGCUGUCUCCACCCGAGACUCAGUGAAAUUGAACUCGCUGUGAAGAUGCAGUGUACCCGCGGCAAGACGGAAAGACCCCGUGAACCUUUACUAUAGCUUGACACUGAACAUUGAGCCUUGAUGUGUAGGAUAGGUGGGAGGCUUUGAAGUGUGGACGCCAGUCUGCAUGGAGCCGACCUUGAAAUACCACCCUUUAAUGUUUGAUGUUCUAACGUUGGCCCGUGAUCGGGGUUGCGGACAGUGUCUGGUGGGUAGUUUGACUGGGGCGGUCUCCUCCUAAAGAGUAACGGAGGAGCACGAAGGUUGGCUAAUCCUGGUCGGACAUCAGGAGGUUAGUGCAAUGGCAUAAGCCAGCUUGACUGCGAGCGUGACGGCGCGAGCAGGUGCGAAAGCAGGUCAUAGUGAUCCGGUGGUUCUGAAUGGAAGGGCCAUCGCUCAACGGAUAAAAGGUACUCCGGGGAUAACAGGCUGAUACCGCCCAAGAGUUCAUAUCGACGGCGGUGUUUGGCACCUCGAUGUCGGCUCAUCACAUCCUGGGGCUGAAGUAGGUCCCAAGGGUAUGGCUGUUCGCCAUUUAAAGUGGUACGCGAGCUGGGUUUAGAACGUCGUGAGACAGUUCGGUCCCUAUCUGCCGUGGGCGCUGGAGAACUGAGGGGGGCUGCUCCUAGUACGAGAGGACCGGAGUGGACGCAUCACUGGUGUUCGGGUUGUCAUGCCAAUGGCACUGCCCGGUAGCUAAAUGCGGAAGAGAUAAGUGCUGAAAGCAUCUAAGCACGAAACUUGCCCCGAGAUGAGUUCUCCCUGACCCUUUAAGGGUCCUGAAGGAACGUUGAAGACGACGACGUUGAUAGGCCGGGUGUGUAAGCGCAGCGAUGCGUUGAGCUAACCGGUACUAAUGAACCGUGAGGCUUAACC
rnacentral:rRNA from 1 species